rnacentral:antisense_RNA from 1 species
UGUGGGAGCUGGCUUGCCUGCGAUGGCGGUGUAUCAGUCACCGCCGCCAUCGCAGGCAAGCCAGCUCCCACA